GAUGAAGAACGCAGCAAAAUGCGAUAAGUAAUGUGAAUUCCAGAAUUCAGUGAAUCAUCGAAUCUUUGAACGCACAUUGCGCCCGCCAGUAUUCUGGCGGGCAUGCCUGUUCGAGCGUCAUUUCAACCCUCAAGCACAGCUUGGUGUUGGGACUCGCGUUAAUUCGCGUUCCCCAAAUUGAUUGGCGGUCACGUCGAGCUUCCAUAGCGUAGUAGUAAAACCCUCGUUACUGGUAAUCGUCGCGGCCACGCCGUUAAACCCCAACUUCUGAAUGUUGACCUCGGAUCAGGUAGGAAUACCCGCUGAACUUAAGCAUAUCAAUAAGCGGAGGA
rnacentral:misc_RNA from 1 species